UUUUGUUUUCUCUUUUUUUU
rnacentral:sRNA from 1 species